rnacentral:rRNA from 1 species
GGUGAACGCUGGCGGUAGGCCUAACACAUGCAAGUCGAACGGCAGCACAGUAAGAGCUUGCUCUUACGGGUGGCGAGUGGCGGACGGGUGAGGAAUACAUCGGAAUCUACUUUUUCGUGGGAGAUAACGUAGGGAAACUUACGCUAAUACCGCAUACGACCUACGGGUGAAAGCAGGGGAUCUUCGGACCUUGCGCGAUUGAAUGAGCCGAUGUCGGAUUAGCUAGUUGGCGGGGUAAAGGCCCACCAAGGCGACGAUCCGUAGCUGGUCUGAGAGGAUGAUCAGCCACACUGGAACUGAGACACGGUCCAGACUCCUACGGGAGGCAGCAGUGGGGAAUAUUGGAUAAUGGGCGCAAGCCUGAUCCAGCCAUACCGCGUGGGUGAAGAAGGCCUUCGGGUUGUAAAGCCCUUUUGUUGGGAAAGAAAAGCAGCAGGUUAAUACCCCGCUGUUCUGACGGUACCCAAAGAAUAAGCACCGGCUAACUUCGUG